rnacentral:rRNA from 1 species
CCUACGGGGCGCAGCAGUGGGGGAUAUUGCACAAUGGGGGGAACCCUGAUGCAGCGACGCCGCGUGGGUGAAGGAGCGUUUCGGCGCGUAAAGCCCUAUCGGCAGGGAAGAAGAUGACGGUACCUGACCAAGAAGCCCCGGCUAAAUACGUGCCAGCAGCCGCGGUAAUACGUAUGGUGCAAGCGUUAUCUGGAUUUACUGGGUGUAAAGGGAGCGCAGGCGGCACGGCAAGCCUGAUGUGAAAGCCCGCGGCCCAACCGCGGGACUGCAUUGGGAACUACCGGGCUGGAGUGCCGGAGAGGUAGGCGGAAUUCCUAGUGUAGCGGUGAAAUGCGUAGAUAUUAGGAGGAACACCAGUGGCGAAGGCGGCCUACUGGACGGUGACUGACGCUGAGGCUCGAAAGCGUGGGGAGCAAACAGGAUUAGAUACCCCUGUAGUC